rnacentral:rRNA from 1 species
CCAGACUCCUACGGGAGGCAGCAGUGGGGAAUAUUGCACAAUGGGCGAAAGCCUGAUGCAGCAACGCCGCGUGAAGGAAGACGGUUUUCGGAUUGUAAACUUCUGUUCUUAGUGAAGAAUAAUGACGGUAACUAAGGAGCAAGCCACGGCUAACUACGUGCCAGCAGCCGCGGUAAUACGUAGGGGGCAAGCGUUAUCCGGAUUUACUGGGUGUAAAGGGAGCGUAGACGGCAUGGCAAGUCUGAAGUGAAAGCCCGGGGCUCAACCGCGGGACUGCUUUGGAAACUGUUAAGCUGGAGUGCAGGAGAGGUAAGUGGAAUUCCUAGUGUAGCGGUGAAAUGCGUAGAUAUUAGGAGGAACACCAGUGGCGAAGGCGGCUUACUGGACUGUAACUGACGUUGAGGCUCGAAAGCGUGGGGAGCAAACAGGAUUAGAUACCCGGGUACA